UGACAAUUUCACCAACAACAAAGGAAUGACCAGUCAAUGUUAUUGGAUAGCAUACCGGUCCAUGGAGCGUUCACUUACAGAUGAGAAGAUAAACGAGUUGCAGUGGAAUGUUAGGGAGCAAGUGCAGAGCAAGUUGAAGGUUGUUCUUAAAUGAGAUUUCUGAUGCUGGGAACCUAAUUUUUCUAUCUCACUCUGAUAAGUCUCCUUGUGAACAUUUUCUAUUAUUAUUCUUUUUGUUCCUACCUUGUACAUUUUACAAUUAUCAACAAGAGUUUGAACUAGGUACAGUCGGGAAA